rnacentral:rRNA from 1 species
AGAAUUUUUCUCAAUGGGGGCAACCUUGAAGGAGCGACGCCGCGUGGAGGAUGAAGGUCUUCGGAUCGUAAACUCCUGUCAUUGGUGAACAAGGCCCACACAGUAACUGGUGUUGGGAUUGCUAGUAGCCGAAGAGGAAGAGACGGCUACCUCUGUGCCAGCAGCCGCGGUAAUACAGAGGUCGCAAGCGUUGUUCGGAUUCAUUGGGCGUAAAGGGUGAGUAGGUGGCGAGGUAAGUCUGGUGUGAAAUCCCGGGGCUCAACCCCGGAACUGCACUGGAUACUGCCCUGCUAGAGUACUGGAGAGGAGAUUGGAAUUUACGGUGUAGCAGUGAAAUGCGUAGAUAUCGUAAGGAAGACCAGUGGCGAAGGCGAAUCUCUGGACAGUUACUGACACUGAGGCACGAAGGCCAGGGGAGCAA